GGCUGGUCUGAAGAUAGUGAGAAAUCUCAACUGAUAGUUCACAGUUACAGAUUGAACUCCUUGUUCAACUCUUUUCCCCCUUCUCACUACUGCACUUGACUAGUUUUAA
ensembl:Y_RNA Y_RNA Y RNA